rnacentral:lncRNA from 1 species
CUUGGAAAUUCUCAAUAAACACAUACCCUGUUUUACCUAAAAUGAAAUGAAGCUUGUUUGUUUUGUGCAUUAUUUUAUGGAAUGUAUGCUGGCUGAUACCUUUAAUGUCUAAGCUGAUACGGGAGCUACUAAUAGGGGAAAGAAAAAAAAGGAACAUCUUAUGUAUCUCUUUUUCAGGAUCAAUGUUCAAGAAGGAUUUACGUGCAGGGCAUUUAUAUAGGGAAUAUAUUUAAGUCUGAAGGGAAAGGAAGGAAAACAAACUAGCUGUUAGACCACCAGAACUCUGGAUCACAGAAUCACAGAAUUGUAGGGGUUGGAAGGGACCUCUGGGGAUCAUCGAGUGCAAACCCCCUGCAAAGCAGCCCCCUACAGUAGGCUGCACAGUUUCAGGCCACUGCUCCUUGUCCUAUCGCUACACG